rnacentral:rRNA from 1 species
GAUGAACGCUGGCGGCGUGCCUAAUACAUGCAAGUCGAGCGAACAGACAAGGAGCUUGCUCCUCUGACGUUAGCGGCGGACGGGUGGGUAACACGUGGAUAACCUAUCUAUAAGACUGGGAUAACUUCGGGAAACCGGAGCUACUACCGGAUAAUAUAUUGAACCGCAUGGUUCAAUAGUGAAAGACGGUUUUGCUGUCACUUAUAGCUGGAUCCGCGCCGCAUUAGCUAGUUGGUAAGGUAACGGCUUACCAAGGCGACGAUGCGUAGCCGACCUGAGAGGGUGAUCGGCCACACUGGAACUGAGACACGGUCCAGACUCCUACGGGAGGCAGCAGUAGGGAAUCUUCCGCAAUGGGCGAAAGCCUGACGGAGCAACGCCGCGUGAGUGAUGAAGGUCUUCGGAUCGUAAAACUCUGUUAUUGGGGAAGAACAAAUGUGUAAGUAACUAUGCACGUCUUGACGGUACCUAAUCAGAAAGCCACGGCUAACUACGUG